rnacentral:misc_RNA from 1 species
ACUGGGGAACCAAUACCAGGGCUCAAUCCUGCUAAAAUCUGAGCCUCUUGCAUUCCUAUCAGCAGAAUCCUGAUGUUGACUGGACGGAUGUCUGUUGAUCAUAGGAGGUUUGGCACCCUUUUUUCCUUGUGAUUGAGGCGUUGACCACCCUAACCCAUUCAGCAACGUAUCUGGAGUAUGUUUAGAUGUUAAGCUCUCACCAUGAGUCGGCUUUCUAGCAUAUAUACUAGAUGGACCACUUCGAGAAG